UAGAUUCACCACUGGGCACUCGCCAACGCCGACUUGGGUUCGCCGUCGCCGCCUCUUUCUUCCCUUCCCCUUCGCCGCCUCCAACCUCGUCGUCGCACCCCCCCUCUCUCUCGUCUCUCCGGCCUCCGCUUCCGCCUCACCGCCGCAUCCCCCUCCACCCGGGCCCACCCAUGGACCCCUCCAUGCCUCCGCCGCCACCGCGAAACCCUAACCCCUCCUCCAUGCCGCCUCCCCCGCCGCCCAAAUUCU
rnacentral:lncRNA from 1 species